CAGGAAAUCCCAAAAGUGAAAAGAGCCAUUAGCGAGAGAACAUACCAGCGACUGGAAGUACGGAAGUAAUGUAAAGGGAAAUCCGACUGUUUCAAAGUGAAUUCCCAAAAGGAAGUGGAGUUCACAAUGGGUCUUCCAUUGGCAGAUGAAGACCAGGAGAGACAGGGCCAUAGUGAGGAAAAUGGUCAAGCACGUCCAUUGUCGGGGGUGGAGUUCAAUCAAAUUAUUUCUGACCGGCUACAGAGCACCCAUGUUGAUAACCGCCGAAACUCUCUACCUCCUGGUAUCCUGGAACACAUAAACGUCAAAAGUGUUUGCGGGCAAAUUCUCCGCUUUAUGGGUGAUGAACACUUUUCUAAGACUUGUGGGCGACACCUGCGGUGUAUGGGGGAUGAGAUUUCUCAUCUGUACUGGUUAAAGAAGACUGUGAUGGGGCCGCAACAAAAUCUGCCAAACCGGGAAUACACACUUUCACAUAACUCACAUUCUCUACCUGAUUUACGAAGCGCAGAAUCGGACCAACAAAGAGAUGCAGUGAAUAAUAAUUGAACUGAAACAUGUAUUACAUAUUGUGAUUCUGUAGCUAUAAAGCUUCAAAGAAUAUUUAUUGUAUCAAUUAAUUAUCAAGCCAAAAUUUACGGAUUAAUUUACUUAAAACCUAUAGAGAAAUGUAGCGAUAUAUGAUCCCUAAAAAUUGAGGAAAGUUAGAAAGUAAAUUCACAGGUGUUAAAGUAAUUAGUUUUAAUAGUUUUCAUUUGAAGUUCUUAGAACUUGUUAUACAUUAAUUAUACAUACUCUGAUCUAUAAUGCUUGAAUUUGGAUGGGAAAUAGUAUGUAUAGCAAUAUUUAUAUUUCCAUGGUUGUCAAAAAUAUAAAUUACUAUAACUUCACAUACAUAAGCAAAACAUGUAUUACUUCAGGAGAGACCAGGGACAUGUAUAUUAAGUACAAAUCCCUUGGUUAGAUAUAUCGGGUCAAAUGUUAUAUUAUCAAGUGUAAAACCAUUCCACCUUAGUGAUUUUUUGAUAAUUUUCCUUGUAAAUGGCAAUUAAUUACUAUGUUUGUUAUUAGGUUGUCUUGUUACUGUUUUUUCUAUCAUUUGUUAUGUUACCUUACUUCAUAAGAAGUCUAAAGAUUACAGCAUAUUUUAUUUAUAUAUUUGUAUUUCCUUUUGCUUUAGUUUAUGAUUUGAACAUAUGUUGUAUUGUAAAUUACCUUUAUUUAGGUUGUUACAAAAUUUAAUUAUCAUAGAUGUGCGAUAUUUAGACAAACUAUUUUUAAUCUCACAAUCUUGCAUUAUGAUAUAUUUAACUUGUGAUCAAUAAUUUACCUGCAAAUUACCUUAUUACCUUUAAAACCUGUUUGUUUGGUGGAACACUCAGUGUUUGUAUGCAUUGAUUAUUCUGCUUUAUGAGAUGAUAAUUCUGUUUCUCGAUUCUUUUAAAUACUCAAUUGUCUGCUCCUGAUGAUUGGGCGAAAUGUAUGUUCUGCAUUAAAUUAGAGAAAAUGCAUGUGAUAAUCUGAAGGAGUUUUGAGAUUUAUACAAACACUAAUUGUGAUACAUGUAUGUCUGAUUGUUAUGCAUGUGUUGAUGAAAGAAAGUCUCCAACAUUGACGUCACUUAUAGAUAAAGAAAUGGGAGAGAGGAUACUAAGAAAGAAAUGGUGAUCAAUCUAAUUACGAUCACUUGAAUUUGCUGGUUCCAGAAUAUAUAUACCAGUUUUAAAUUUUAAUAUUCUGUAAAGAGAGAAUUGUAAUUAUAUUAUGUAGGUCGAGACAAAACGUUCUUCUCAUGAUAGAAGAGUUUAACUUGUUAUAAAUUCAAGAUGAAUUGUUGUACUCAUUGUAUUAAUUCACAAUGUAUGUUAUAGAAUGAUAUCAAUAGUGCCAUUUAUGUGGGUUGUAACAAGGAUUUAGGUGGUGUUAUUACCUGUGUGAAAUACAUGCACAACUUAGUUUUAUAUUAUAACCUAUAGGUAAGCACAAUAGAAUAUUGGUCCAUUGUGGGUUUGUAGUUACGGAUGCUGGACUUGUUACAUCAUCAAUAAAAACAAAACAAUAUACAUGUA
rnacentral:lncRNA from 1 species